rnacentral:rRNA from 1 species
CAGUAGCCGCGGUAAUACGAAGGGGGCUAGCGUUGUUCGGAAUCACUGGGCGUAAAGGGUGCGUAGGCGGGAUCUUAAGUCAGGGGUGAAAUCCCGAGGCUCAACCUCGGAACUGCCUUUGAUACUGGGGUCCUUGAGUCCGGAAGAGGUGAGUGGAACUGCGAGUGUAGAGGUGAAAUUCGUAGAUAUUCGCAAGAACACCGGUGGCGAAGGCGGCUCACUGGUCCGGAACUGACGCUGAGGCACGACAGCGUGGGGAGCAAACAGGAUUAGAUACCCCAGUAGUCCCUGUCUCUUAUAC